UAGUUCAGGGUGUUCCUAGACAUCGUGAUGGUUGCAUGCCAUUUCUAUUAUCGCUAUUCAAUAUCUUCAGCCACAGUGAACACAAAUUUCUGCAGUGCACAAAGGUCCCCAAAAUUGAGCGUGCUUUUGGCAAAGGAAUAUACAACAUCAGAAGAAAAUACAGCAAUACAAAAGGAGCUAAAAAGAAGGGGGAAAUGCCAAAUGAUAGGCAACUGAUCUACUAACACAGGGUAAACCUGAUGAACCAGUGACAUGUAUCCUGGCCGUUGCAAUGCUCCGCAUGGUUUAUAGGUGCUGCCAACAAUAGUUUUUGGUAGGUACUGCUGAUGCCAUGGCGGCAGUGGCUGCAUCUCGUCCUGUGCUUUUGUGGUAGCAGAUUGGCAAUGGGGCCGAUUACUCCUGUGGCUGCUGCGAUGGCAAAGGUGAUUGCUGGUGCUGCUGCAAUGGCAAAGGUGAUUGCUGCUGCUGCGAUGACAAAGGUGAUUGCUGCUGCAGUGAUGGCAAAGGUGACUGCUGCUGCUCUCCUCGGAUAAAUUUCUCAGGGAGCGGGUGCGACUCGCCUUGCCACGCCCAAACCACAUCCUUAAGUGCGGGCCUU
rnacentral:lncRNA from 1 species